rnacentral:rRNA from 1 species
GCAGUGGCGCACGGGUGAGUAACGCGUGGGAACCUACCUCGAGGUACGGAAUAACGGCUGGAAACGGCCGCUAAUACCGUAUGUGACCCAAGGGUGAAAGAUUUAUCGCCUUGAGAGGGGCCCGCGUCCGAUUAGCUUGUUGGUGAGGUAAUGGCUCACCAAGGCAGUGAUCGGUAGCUGGUCUGAGAGGAUGAUCAGCCACACUGGGACUGAGACACGGCCCAGACUCC